GACGGAGGAUGCAAGCGUUAUCCGGAAUGAUUGGGCGUAAAGCGUCCGCAGGUGGCAGUUCAAGUCUGCUGUCAAAGACCGGGGCUUAACUUCGGAAAGGCAGUGGAAACUGAACAGCUAGAGUAUGGUAGGGGCAGAGGGAAUUCCUGGUGUAGCGGUGAAAUGCGUAGAGAGUCAGGAAGAACGUACGGUGGCGAAGGCGCUCUGCUGGACCAUAACUGACACUCAGGGACGAAAGCUAGGGGAGCGAAUGGG
rnacentral:rRNA from 1 species